rnacentral:rRNA from 1 species
AUUGAACGCUGGCGGCAGGCCUAACACAUGCAAGUCGAACGAGUGGCGGACGGGUGAGUAAUGUCUGGGAAACUGCCUGAUGGAGGGGGAUAACUACUGGAAACGGUAGCUAAUACCGCAUACCAUCGGAUGUGCCCAGAUGGGAUUAGCUAGUAGGUGGGGUAAAGGCUCACCUAGGUGACGAUCCCUAGCUGGUCUGAGAGGAUGACCAGCCAAACUGGAAAUGCGACACGGUCCAGACUCCUACGGGAGGCAGCAGGGGGGAAUAUUGCACAAUGGGGGCAAGCCUGAUGCAGCCAUGCCGCGUGGAGUAAGAAGGCCUUCGGGUUGUAAAGUACUUUCAGGGGGGAGGCGUUACCCGCAGAAGAAGCACCGGCUAACUCCGUGCCAGCCGCCGCGGUAAUAC